rnacentral:rRNA from 1 species
AACGAACGCUGGCGGCAUGCCUAACACAUGCAAGUCGAACGAUUGCCUUCGGGUGAUAGUGGCGCACGGGUGCGUAACGCGUGGGAAUCUGCCCUUAGGUUCGGAAUAACAGCUGGAAACGGCUGCUAAUACCGGAUGAUAUCGCGAGAUCAAAGAUUUAUCGCCUGACGAUGAGCCCGCGUUGGAUUAGGUAGUUGGUGGGGUAAAGGCCUACCAAGCCGACGAUCCAUAGCUGGUCUGAGAGGAUGAUCAGCCACACUAGGACUGAGACACGGCCCAGACUCCUACGGGAGGCAGCAGUGGGGAAUAUUGGACAAUGGGCGCAAGCCUGAUCCAGCAAUGCCGCGUGAGUGAUGAAGGCCCUAGGGUUGUAAAGCUCUUUUACCCGGGAAGAUAAUGACUGUACCGGGAGAAUAAGCCCCGGCUAACUCCGUG